UCCGGUUUGGCACCGGCAGUCCCCCGAGAGUCCUCAGCAGUUUGCACCCUGUUAGCAACACGGGGCGGGGGUCGCGCUCGUUGCGGGACUUAACCCAACAUCUCACGACACGAGCUGACGACAGCCAUGCAGCACCUGUGCUAGCCCCUUACGGACACGCGCUUCCACGCGCUUUAACUAGCAUGUCAAGCCUAGGUAAGGUUCUUCGCGUUGCAUCGAAUUAAGCCACAUGCUCCGCCGCUUGUGCGGGUCCCCGUCAAUUCCUUUGAAUUUCAGCCUUGCGGCCGUACUCCCCAGGCGGGGCACUUAAUGCGUUAGCGCCGGCACCCAGGGGGUCGCUCCCCCAGGCACCUAGUGCCCAUCGUUUACGGCGUGGACUAC
rnacentral:misc_RNA from 1 species